GACGAACGCUGGCGGCGUGCUUAACACAUGCAAGUCGAACGGAAAGGCCCUGCUUUUGUGGGGUGCUCGAGUGGCGAACGGGUGAGUAACACGUGAGUAACCUGCCCUUGACUUUGUGAUAACUUCAGGAAACUGGGGCGAAUACCGGAUAGGAGCUACUGCUGCACGGUGGGGGUUGGAAAGUGUCGGCGGUGGGGGAUGGUCUCGGUGCGUAUGAGCCAGAUGGUGAGGUAGGGGCUUACCAAGGCUUUGAUGGGUAGCCGGCCUGAGAGGGUUAGCGGCCAGACUGGAACUGAGACACGGUCCAGACUCGUACGGGAGGCAGCAGUAGGGAAUCUGCCGCAAUGGGCGAAAGCCUGAAGGAGCAACGCAGCGUGGGUGAUGAAGGUCUUCGGAUCUUAAAACUCUGUUAUUAGGGAAGAACAAAGGGGUAAGUAACUAUGCACGUCUGGACGGGACCUAACCAGAAAGCCACGGCUAACUACGUG
rnacentral:rRNA from 1 species